GGGGAUGUAGCUCAAUGGUAGAACAUUUGCCUCACAUGCAGAAGGUCCCAGGUUCAAUUCCCAGCAUCUCCA